rnacentral:lncRNA from 1 species
CGUAACUGUCCCUUUCUUCCACUACCACUGUGAAUGAAUUCUGAUACUUUGGGUCAAAGAAGCAAAAAACUGCAUACCCCACAGAUUACAUGAAGUCCUGUUGGCUGAACAGAGCAGGAAAGAAGGCAAAGACACGUGGAGGACAGCAGUAACCCAUUGCGGCUAUCCACAAGAAGCUGUUGGAAAAAGCUGUCUCUGGAGAGGAAUAAACUUCAAGCUUUUUGGGCCUAGCCCAAGGGGAGAGGAAAAUGGAGGCCAGAAACUGACCCAAACAAGAGAU